rnacentral:rRNA from 1 species
AGCGAACGCUGGCGGCAGGCUUAACACAUGCAAGUCGAACGGUCCUUCGGGAUAGUGGCGGACGGGUGAGUAACACGUGGGAACGUACCCUUAGGUUCGGAACAACACAGGGAAACUUGUGCUAAUACCGGAUAAGCCCUUCGGGGGAAAGACUUAUCGCCUUUGGAGCGGCCCGCGUCUGAUUAGCUUGUUGGAGAGGUAAUGGCUCACCAAGGCUACGAUCAGUAGCUGGUCUGAGAGGAUGGCCAGCCACACUGGGACUGAGACACGGCCCAGACUCCUACGGGAGGCAGCAGUGGGGAAUCUUGCGCAAUGGGCGAAAGCCUGACGCAGCCAUGCCGCGUGGAUGAUGAAGGUCUUAGGAUUGUAAAAUCCUUUCACCGGGGACGAUAAUGACGGUACCCGGAGAAGAAGCCCCGGCUAACUUCGUGCCAGCAGCCGCAGUAA